rnacentral:rRNA from 1 species
GACGAACGCUGGCGGCGUGCUUAACACAUGCAAGUCGAACGGAAAGGCCCUGCUUUUGUGGGGUGCGCGAGUGGCGAACGGGUGAGUAACACGUGAGUAACCUGCCCUUGACUUUGGGAUAACUUCAGGAAACUGGGGCUAAUACCGGAUAGGAGCUCCUGCGGCAUGGUGGGGGUUGGAAAGUUUCGGCGGGUGGGGAUGGACUCGCGGCUUAUCAGCUUGUUGGUGGGGUAGUGGCUUACCAAGGCUUUGACGGGUAGCCGGCCUGAGAGGGUGACCGGCCACAUUGGGACUGAGAUACGGCCCAGACUCCUACGGGAGGCAGCAGUGGGGAGUAUUGCACAAUGGGCGGAAGCCUGAUGCAGCAACGCCGCGUGCGGGAUGACGGCCUUCGGGUUGUAAACCGCUUUCGCCUGUGACGAAGCGUGAGUGACGGUAAUGGGUAAAGAAGCACCGGCUAACUACGUG